rnacentral:rRNA from 2 species
GUGCUAUACAUGCAAGUCGAGCGAACAGAUAAGGAGCUUGCUCCUUUGACGUUAGCGGCGGACGGGUGAGUAACACGUGGGUAACCUACCUAUAAGACUGGGAUAACUUCGGGAAACCGGAGCUAAUACCGGAUAACAUUUGGAACCGCAUGGUUCUAAAGUGAAAGAUGGUUUUGCUAUCACUUAUAGAUGGACCCGCGCCGUAUUAGCUAGUUGGUAAGGUAACGGCUUACCAAGGCGACGAUACGUAGCCGACCUGAGAGGGUGAUCGGCCACACUGGAACUGAGACACGGUCCAGACUCCUACGGGAGGCAGCAGUAGGGAAUCUUCCGCAAUGGGCGAAAGCCUGACGGAGCAACGCCGCGUGAGUGAUGAAGGGUUUCGGCUCGUAAAACUCUGUUAUUAGGGAAGAACAAACGUGUAAGUAACUGUGCACGUCUUGACGGUACCUAAUCAGAAAGCCACGGCUAACUACGUGCCAGCAGCCGCGGUAAUACGUAGGUGGCAAGCGUUAUCCGGAAUUAUUGGGCGUAAAGCGCGCGUAGGCGGUUUCUUAAGUCUGAUGUGAAAGCCCACGGCUCAACCGUGGAGGGUCAUUGGAAACUGGGAAACUUGAGUGCAGAAGAGGAAAGUGGAAUUCCAUGUGUAGCGGUGAAAUGCGCAGAGAUAUGGAGGAACACCAGUGGCGAAGGCGACUUUCUGGUCUGUAACUGACGCUGAUGUGCGAAAGCGUGGGGAUCAAACAGGAUUAGAUACCCUGGUAGUCCACGCCGUAAACGAU